GCCAUGCAUUCUGUUCCAAAUGAAUGUAGAUACUACCAUAUGAAUGCAUUAUACUGCAUUUACCAUGUUUUUAAUGCAGCAUUCUUUAACGAUCCCAUUGUCCUGACUGUUUCCCGGGGUUGUGUUAUUCUCCAGGUUCAGCCCUGGGGUGUGCCAUGCGGGUGGGAGAUGUGGCGGUGCCCAACGAGUAUGGCACCUAGCUGUACGGCCGUGGAGGCUGGUGUGAUGGGCUACAGGUCAACCCCUGGAGGAUUGAGAUCACCACACAGCUGGACAUGAGUGGGAUUGAAGCCGAUACUCUGCUCUACUUUGGCCUUUACAGUGGACAGGAGCCCAAUCCGUCUCAAGACCCUGGCUACAUUGUCAUGCUCUCUUAUCUGGUGCUCUACAAGUUGUGCUCUACAAGUAGGGGGGAAAAAAUUAUGAAAUGUAUGCAUUCACUACUGUAAGUCGCUCUGGAUAAGAGCGUCUGCUAAAUGACUAAAAUGUAAAUGUAAAAUGUCUCCCUGACAACCAGGUUGUCUUGAAUGUGAAUUUUAAUGACUGUGAUUGAUGCGAAUGAAA
rnacentral:lncRNA from 1 species